rnacentral:tRNA from 1 species
UGGAAUAUAGCCAAGUGGGAAGGCACUCGUUUUUGGUACGACUAUUCAAAGGUUCGAAUCCUUUUAUUCCAA